GACCUUCUCCUUGGUCGGUUGGUCCUAGUAUCGUAUGCGGGUAUUGGGUUCUUUUUUUCCCCUCUAUGAGAGGCUGGUUCUUGAAUCGGGCAUUGUGCUUGUGUUCUCUCUUCCCCUCGUAAUCUCUCUAGAUUUGGUUGCGGAAAUCAGCAUUUGAUGGGGUCUCUGCUCGGCGACUGGCCGUCAUUUGACCCUCACAACUUCAGCCAACUUCGACCGGCCGAUCCUUCCAUUCCUUCAAGAAUGACGCCUGCAACUUAUCAUCCUACUCACAGCCGCACCCUUCCGCCACCUGAUCAAGUGAUAACUACUGAAGCCAAAAAUAUCCUUUUGAGACACAUCUAUCAGCGUGCUGAAGAGAAGGAUUUGAGACCGAAGAGAGCUGCAACCGAACAUCUUAUACCCGAGCAUGGAUGCAAGCAACCGAGGGCAUCUUCCUACUGAGCUCUUCUUUCCAAAGGAAUGAAGGGCAUUUGCAUGUUCACUGUUGUAGGCUGCUUAGCUAGAAGGGAUGUCUUGCUGCAUUGUGUGGUUGAUGCGAUUUUGGGUGCUUUGGGGCUUCCUGAUAUCGGACAAAUAUUCCCAGACAACGAUCCUAAGUGGAAGGGGGCGCCAUCCUCAGUUUUCAUCAAGGAAG